UUGUGUUGCAGUCAAAUUUGAAGAUUGGUUGGUAACAGAAGUCCUCUGAAAAUGGUUUCCUACAGUUUGUGGUCCAUGAGGGAUUCCUGAAAAAUAGGAGGGAAAAGCCAAAAUUUGUAAUGAAAUGACUGAAAGCUGCAGGUGAAGGACUUGGAGAUACAUCAGGAACAGAAUCAACACGAACAACAGGAGUAGAGACUGGUUGCUGCUGAUAGUACAUCUGAAUGGGAAGUGGUAUAGCCCUCCGUUUUACUCCGACCACAUGAAUAUGUGCCUGCCCGUUGCUGCUGGAAUCCUCCACUCUCUUCACUGUAUGAUUUGGAAAGACCGUUCUGUAAAUAAAGUACAUACAUACUUAGUUUUGUUAACUAGCACACGAGCAAAAAACACUGACUUCUAACAGUGUUUACAUAACAGCAGCAGGACAUUUGCUGCUACUCAUUAUGAACCAGUAUGAUUCAUAUAGUUAUAGAUUCUGUAAGGGUAGGGAGCAAAGAAAAAACAUAAAAGAUCAAUUCUCCAAUUUUUAAAAUCA